GCAGUGGUGGCUCAGUGGUAGAAUUCUCACCUUCCAUGCAGGAGACCAGGGUUUGAUUCCCAGCCAAUGUA
rnacentral:tRNA from 1 species